GACGAACGCUGGCGGCGUGCCUAAUACAUGCAAGUUGAGCGAUGAAGAUUGGUGCUUGCACCAAUUUGAAGAGCAGCGAACGGGUGAGUAACGCGUGGGGAAUCUGCCUUUGAGCGGGGGACAACAUUUGGAAACGAAUGCUAAUACCGCAUAACAACUUUAAACAUAAGUUUUAAGUUUGAAAGAUGCAAUUGCAUCACUCAAAGAUGGUCCCGCGUUGUAUUAGCUAGUUGGUGAGGUAAAGGCUCACCAAGGCGAUGAUACAUAGCCGACCUGAGAGGGUGAUCGGCCACAUUGGGACUGAGACACGGCCCAAACUCCUACGGGAGGCAGCAGUAGGGAAUCUUCGGCAAUGGACGAAAGUCUGACCGAGCAACGCCGCGUGAGUGAAGAAGGUUUUCGGAUCGUAAAACUCUGUUGGUAGAGAAGAACGUUGGUGAGAGUGGAAAGCUCAUCAAGUGACGGUAACUACCCAGAAAGGGACGGCUAACUACGUG
rnacentral:rRNA from 1 species